UCUCCGUUGGUGAACCAGCGGAGGGAUCAUUACUGAGUUUACAACUCCCAAACCCUUUGUGAACAUACCUUUUUGUUGCUUCGGCGGGAUCGCCCCGGCUGCCCUGAGCGCCCCCGGGGUCAAUCAAACACUGCAUUCUCUGCGUCGGAGUAUUAGUAAAUCUAAUCAAAACUUUCAACAACGGAUCUCUUGGUUCUGGCAUCGAUGAAGAACGCAGC
rnacentral:misc_RNA from 1 species